rnacentral:rRNA from 1 species
GGGUUGUGAGGUUAAGCGACUAAGCGUACACGGUGGAUGCCCUGGCAGUCAGAGGCGAUGAAGGGCGUGCUAAUCUGCGAUAAGCGCCGGUAAGGUGAUAUGAACCGUUAUAACCGGCGAUACCCGAAUGGGGAAACCCAGUGUGAUUCGUCACACUAUCAUUAACUGAAUCCAUAGGUUAAUGAGGCGAACCGGGGGAACUGAAACAUCUAAGUACCCCGAGGAAAAGAAAUCAACCGAGAUUCCCCCAGUAGCGGCGAGCGAACGGGGAGGAGCCCAGAGCCUGAAUCAGCAUGUGUGUUAGUGGAAGCGUCUGGAAAGGCGCGCGAUACAGGGUGACAGCCCCGUACACAAAAGCGCAUAUGCUGUGAGCUCGAUGAGUAGGGCGGGACACGUGGUAUCCUGUCUGAAUAUGGGGGGACCAUCCUCCAAGGCUAAAUACUCCUGACUGACCGAUAGUGAACCAGUACCGUGAGGGAAAGGCGAAAAGAACCCCGGCGAGGGGAGUGAAAAAGAACCUGAAACCGUGUACGUACAAGCAGUGGGAGCCCCACCACUAAGCCAGUGGUGAACUCCACAUACGCAUCCUUUGCUGAGGAGACGGUUAACGGAGCGAAAGCGACGUUCAACCUCAAAAGAAGCAGAGGGGGCUUAGUGGUGGGGUGACUGCGUACCUUUUGUAUAAUGGGUCAGCGACUUAUAUUCUGUAGCAAGGUUAACUGUAUAGGGGAGCCGGAGGGAAACCGAGUCUUAACCGGGCGUUAAGUUGCAGGGUAUAGACCCGAAACCCGGUGAUCUAGCCAUGGGCAGGUUGAAGGUUGGGUAACACUAACUGGAGGACCGAACCGACUAAUGUUGAAAAAUUAGCGGAUGACCUGUGGCUGGGGGUGAAAGGCCAAUCAAACCGGGAGAUAGCUGGUUCUCCCCGAAAGCUAUUUAGGUAGCGCCUCGUGAAUUCAUCUCCGGGGGUAGAGCACUGUUUCGGCUAGGGGGCCAUCCCGGCUUACCAACCCGAUGCAAACUGCGAAUACCGGAGAAUGUUAUCACGGGAGACACACGGCGGGUGCUAAUGUCCGUCGUGAAGAGGGAAACAACCCAGACCGCCAGCUAAGGUCCCAAAGUCAUGGUUAAGUGGGAAACGAUGUGGGAAGGCCCAGACAGCCAGGAUGUUGGCUUAGAAGCAGCCAUCAUUUAAAGAAAGCGUAAUAGCUCACUGGUCGAGUCGGCCUGCGCGGAAGAUGUAACGGGGCUAAACCAUGCACCGAAGCUGCGGCAGCGACACCGUGUGUUGUUGGGUAGGGGAGCGUUCUGUAAGCCUGUGAAGGUGUGCUGUGAGGCAUGCUGGAGGUAUCAGAAGUGCGAAUGCUGACAUAAGUAACGAUAAAGCGGGUGAAAAGCCCGCUCGCCGGAAGACCAAGGGUUCCUGUCCAACGUUAAUCGGGGCAGGGUGAGUCGACCCCUAAGGCGAGGCCGAAAGGCGUAGUCGAUGGGAAACGGGUUAAUAUUCCCGUACUUGGUGUUACUGCGAAGGGGGGACGGAGAAGGCUAUGUUGGCCGGGCGACGGUUGUCCCGGUUUAAGCGUGUAGGUAUGUGUUCCAGGUAAAUCCGGUUCACUUUAACACUGAGGCGUGACGACGAGGCACUACGGUGCUGAAGCAACAAAUGCCCUGCUUCCAGGAAAAGCCUCUAAGCAUCAGGUAACAUCAAAUCGUACCCCAAACCGACACAGGUGGUCAGGUAGAGAAUACCAAGGCGCUUGAGAGAACUCGGGUGAAGGAACUAGGCAAAAUGGUGCCGUAACUUCGGGAGAAGGCACGCUGACACGUAGGUGAAGUGAUUUACUCACGGAGCUGAAGUCAGCCGAAGAUACCAGCUGGCUGCAACUGUUUAUUAAAAACACAGCACUGUGCAAACACGAAAGUGGACGUAUACGGUGUGACGCCUGCCCGGUGCCGGAAGGUUAAUUG